AGAGUUUGAUCAUGGCUCAGAUUGAACGCUGGCGGCAUGCCUUACACAUGCAAGUCGAACGGCAGCACGGACUUCGGUCUGAUGGCGAGUGGCGAACGGGUGAGUAAUACAUCGGAACGUGUCCUGGAGUGGGGGAUAGCCCGGCGAAAGCCGGAUUAAUACCGCAUACGCUCUGUGGAGGAAAGGGGGGGAUCUUAGGACCUCUCGCUCAAGGGGCGGCCGAUGGCAGAUUAGCUAGUUGGUGGGGUAAAGGCCUACCAAGGCGACGAUCUGUAGCUGGUCUGAGAGGACGACCAGCCACACUGGGACUGAGACACGGCCCAGACUCCUACGGGAGGCAGCAGUGGGGAAUUUUGGACAAUGGGCGCAAGCCUGAUCCAGCAAUGCCGCGUGUGUGAAGAAGGCCUUCGGGUUGUAAAGCACUUUUGUCCGGAAAGAAAACCUCUGUCCUAAUACGACGGGGGGAUGACGGUACCGGAAGAAUAAGCACCGGCUAACUACGUGCCAGCAGCCGCGGUAAUACGUAGGGUGCAAGCGUUAAUCGGAAUUACUGGGCGUAAAGCGUGCGCAGGCGGUUCGCUAAGACAGAUGUGAAAUCCCCGGGCUUAACCUGGGAACUGCAUUUGUGACUGGCGGGCUAGAGUAUGGCAGAGGGGGGUAGAAUUCCACGUGUAGCAGUGAAAUGCGUAGAGAUGUGGAGGAAUACCGAUGGCGAAGGCAGCCCCCUGGGCCAAUACUGACGCUCAUGCACGAAAGCGUGGGGAGCAAACAGGAUUAGAUACCCUGGUAGUCCACGCCCUAAACGAUGUCAACUAGUUGUCGGGUCUUCAUUGACUUGGUAACGUAGCUAACGCGUGAAGUUGACCGCCUGGGGAGUACGGUCGCAAGAUUAAAACUCAAGGAAUUGACGGGACCCGCACAAGCGGUGGAUGAUGUGGAUUAAUUCGAUGCAACGCGAAAAACCUUACCUACCCUUGAC
rnacentral:rRNA from 1 species